rnacentral:rRNA from 1 species
GACGAACGCUGGCGGCGUGCUUAACACAUGCCAGUCGAACGGAAAGGCCCUGCUUUUGUGGGGUGCUCGAGUGGCGAACGGGUGAGUAACACGUGAGUAACCUGCCCUUGACUUUGGGAUAACUUCAGGAAACUGGGGCUAAUACCGGAUAGGAGCUCCUGCUGCAUGGUGGGGGUUGGAAAGUUUCGGCGGUUGGGGAUGGACUCGCGGCUUAUCAGCUUGUUGGUGGGGUAGUGGCUUACCAAGGCUUUGACGGGUAGCCGGCCUGAGAGGGUGACCGGCCACAUUGGGACUGAGAUACGGCCCAGACUCCUACGGGAGGCAGCAGUGGGGAAUAUUGCACAAAUGGGCGGAAGCCUGAUGCAGCAACGCCGCGUGCGGGAUGACGGCCUUCGGGUUGUAAACCGCUUUCGCCUGUGACGAAGCGUGAGUGACGGUAAUGGGUAAAGAAGCACCGGCUAACUACGUG